rnacentral:rRNA from 1 species
UAAUGUAUGGGGAUCUGCCCGAUAGAGGGGAAUAACUACUGGAAACGGUGGCUAAUACCGCAUAAUGUCUACGGACCAAAGCAGGGGCUCUUCGGACCUUGCACUAUCGGAUGAACCCAUAUGGGAUUAGCUAGUGGGUGGGGUAAAGGCUCACCUAGGCGACGAUCUCUAGCUGGUCUGAGAGGAUGAUCAGCCACACUGGGACUGAGACACGGCCCAG